AUCCGUAUGAAUGCAAAGUGUGUACCUGAAAUUACAAUGAAAUAGAAGAUAGAAAGAUGAUCACCAGUAGUAGAUAGCAGACAACAGCAGAAACUUGAGUCCAACACAGUCUCAAAAUCCUAGAAGUAAAAGAAGAAAAAACAGCACCAGCUAAAUGAUCAAAAUAGCACAGAUAGAACCCAGCCAGCUCGAAAUUACACCCAGAAUUACUUCUGCAACUAGAUUGCUCAAAAACAACUUGAAAGAACUCGAAGUUCAACUUCAAAACUCAAGGAAUCAGAAUGAACAGUUAACUUGCC
rnacentral:lncRNA from 1 species